UACGUAGGUGGCAAGCGUUGUCCGGAAUUAUUGGGCGUAAAGCGCGCGCAGGUGGUUUCUUAAGUCCGCUGUGAAAGUCGGGGGCUCAACCCUCGAAUGCCGGUGGAUACUGUCGAGCUAGAGUGCGGAAGAGGCGAGUGGAAUUCCUGGUGUAGCGGUGAAAUGCGCAGAUAUCAGGAGGAACACCGAUUGCGAAGGCAGCUCGCUGGGACGUUACUGACGCUGAGACGCGAAAGCGUGGGGAGCAAACAGG
rnacentral:rRNA from 1 species